UCGUUUACGUAACAUUAAGCCUUCCGAUGUAUUACUUCAUUGUCCAUCUUUUGGACCGAGUGGCUCCUGUCCACUCUGUUUUGACGCCUCCCUGUUACCAACUUCAAAGCCGCCGGAAACGGCGGCUCUUUUUUG
rnacentral:sRNA from 1 species